rnacentral:ncRNA from 1 species
CUACGAAUUUAAUUAGAUUGUGCCUUGAUAUGGAGACCUACUAAGUGAUAACUUUCAAAUUCAGAGAAACUCUGGAAUUAAAAAUGGACAAUCCUGAGCCAAAUCAUUUUUUCGAAAAAGAAAAAGAUAGGUGCAGUGACUCAAUGGAAGUUGUUCUAACAAAUGGAGUUGAUGACGUUACGUUAGUAAAGGAAUGAAUCCUUCCAUCAAAUUCCAG